rnacentral:rRNA from 1 species
GAGUUUGAUCGUGGCGUCAGGACGGAACGACUGGCGGCGUGCCUAACAACAUGCAAGUUGAGCGGAGAUAUGGAGAGCUUGCUCUUUAUUAUUUUAGUCAGCGAACGGGUGAGUAACACGUAGAUAAUUUGUCCUAUAUUGGGGAUAGGCCGAUGAAAAUUAGGAUUAAUACCGCAUACAGCUAUUUAACCGCAUGGGGAGAUAGUGAAAGGGGAAACUUGAUAUAGGAGGAGUCUGCGGCACA